rnacentral:tRNA from 1 species
UUAGUCUAGUGGUAUGAUUCUCGCUUCGGGUGCGAGAGGUCCCGGGUUCGAUUCCCGGAACGGCCC